rnacentral:rRNA from 1 species
AAGCCCCAGUAAACGGCGGCCGUAACUAUAACGGUCCUAAGGUAGCGAAAUUCCUUGUCGGGUAAGUUCCGACCCGCACGAAAGGCGUAACGAUUUGGGCACUGUCUCAACGAGAGACUCGGUGAAAUCAUAGUACCUGUGAAGAUGCAGGUUACCCGCGACAGGACGGAAAGACCCCGUGGAGCUUUACUGUAGCCUGAUAUUGAAAUUCGGCACAGCUUGUACAGGAUAGGUAGGAGCCUUUGAAACGUGAGCGCUAGCUUACGUGGAGGCGUUGGUGGGAUACUACCCUAGCUGUGUUGGCUUUCUAACCCGCACCACUUAUCGUGGUGGGAGACAGUGUCAGGCGGGCAGUUUGACUGGGGCGGUCGCCUCCUAAAAGGUAACGGAGGCGCUCAAAGGUUCCCUCAGAAUGGUUGGAAAUCAUUCAUAGAGUGUAAAGGCAUAAGGGAGCUUGACUGCGAGACCUACAAGUCGAGCAGGGUCGAAAGACGGACUUAGUGAUCCGGUGGUUCCGCAUGGAAGGGCCAUCGCUCAACGGAUAAAAGCUACCCCGGGGAUAACAGGCUUAUCUCCCCCAAGAGUUCACAUCGACGGGGAGGUUUGGCACCUCGAUGUCGGCUCAUCGCAUCCUGGGGCUGUAGUCGGUCCCAAGGGUUGGGCUGUUCGCCCAUUAAAGCGGUACGCGAGCUGGGUUCAGAACGUCGUGAGACAGUUCGGUCCCUAUCCGUCGUGGGCGUAGGAAAUUUGAGAGGAGCUGUCCUUAGUACGAGAGGACCGGGAUGGACAUACCUCUGGUGUACCAGUUGUCGUGCCAACGGCAUAGCUGGGUAGCUAUGUAUGGACGGGAUAAGUGCUGAAAGCAUCUAAGCAUGAAGCCCCCCUCAAGAUGAGAUUUCCCAACUUCGGUUAUAAGAUCCCUCGAAGAUGACGAGGUUAAUAGGUUCGAGGUGGAAGCGUGGUGACACGUGGAGCUGACGAAUACUAAUCGAUCGAAGACUUAAUCAA